rnacentral:rRNA from 1 species
GUUUAUGGCUAUACCACCGUGAACAAGUCCAAAGUCCAAUCUCGGAAGCUAAGCAGGGUCGGGCCUGGUUAGUACUUGGAUGGGAGACCACCUAGGAAGACCAGGUGCUGCAAGCA